rnacentral:rRNA from 1 species
UACGUAGGGGGCUAGCGUUGUCCGGAUUUAUUGGGCGUAAAGAGCGUGUAGGCGGUCAGGUAGGUCGGUUGUGAAAACUGGAGGCUCAACCUUCAGAGGUCGACCGAAACCCCCUGGCUAGAGUCCGGGAGAGGAGAGUGGAAUUCCUGGCGUAGCGGUGAAAUGCGCAGAUAUCAGGAAGAACACCCGUGGCGAAAGCGGCUCUCUGGAACGGUACUGACGCUGAGACGCGAAAGCGUGGGGAGCGAACAGG